AUGUCGCGCACAUCGCCGGCGGCGGCGGUGGCCGUGCUAUGCUGCUUUGUGAUGAUGUGCGGCACGCCGUUCCUGCCGGGGUGCGAGGGGUGCAGGCACGACGAGAAGUCGGCGCUUUUGGACAUCCUCGACCAGUUCGACUACUAUGAUUCGCUGGACUGGAGCAGUAGAGAUUGCUGCGAGUGGGACGCGGUGACCUGCAGCUCCCGCACAGGCCGUGUCACCGGCCUCGACCUCAGUAUACUUGAGAGUAUUGGCUCCGGCUCGGGGCUACUCAACGCUACCACGUUCCUUCCCUUACAAGAGCUGCGGAAUCUGUCCCUCAAUUACCUCUAUAUACAAGGAUGCUAUCCUGGUGCAGGCUUUGAAGUAUGGUCAAAACUGCGCAAAUUAGAAAUUCUUGAUUUAUCCAAUAAUAAAUUAGAUGAGAGUAGCAUCACAUCCUUCGUUGCAGUUUCAUCGCUACGGUCAUUAUUGCUCCAUGGCAAUGCCUUCAGCUCCAAUCUGACAAUACAAGGACUGAGCACAAUGAAGCUGCAUACUCUUGAUCUAGGCAAUAAUUAUAUACACGGCAAGUUAGCAACAGAUAUUUGCAAUAUGGGAGAUCUUCAAGAGUUACAUCUCAGUGGCAAUAUUUUACUUGGAGAGCUUCCGUCAUGCAUGAAAAAUCUAGCUUCUCUCAGAAUUCUUGAUCUGUCACAUAACACUGGAUUGAUUCUGAAGUUUCCCUCUCCUAUCUUUCCAAGUCUCACAUCACUCGUGAAACUUUCCCUCUUAAAUAACUGUCUUGAAGGAGUUCUCUCCCUGAGUUCCUUGCUAAGUCCACAAUUGACUCACCUUGAACUAGCAAGCAACGGCAACGGUAACCAUUUUCAGGUGCAAACAGAGAAUCCAGCAACACAUCCAUCAGCUCAGCUUAAGGUUCUAGUACUUCGAAAUUGCAACCUUAAUGGUAAUUCAUCCGUUAUACCAAGUUUCUUGUUGCAUCAGCAUGCACUAGAGACGGUUGAUAUGCCUAAUAACAACCUAACAGGUUACUUCCCCUUGUGGUUGAUAGAUAAUAAUGUCAACCUAUCAACGCUAGUUCUGCGAGGUAACUCCUUUACAGGUCCUUUUCUUCCAUCCAAAGUACACACGAACUUGCAUUGGAUGGAUGCAUCCCAUAAUAGGCUAAGGAAAUUACCUGUGGACAUCAACACCACAUUACCAAAUUUGAGGUACCUAACCUUAUCAGGGAAUUAUUUUAGGGGCACCUUUCCUUCCACCUUGAGCUACAUGGAUAAUCUGCAAUAUUUGGAUUUGUCUUACAACAAUUUCUCAGAUAACAUUGCGUCGGCUUUUGUUGGAAGUAUGUCAAAUAUCACUGCCUUGAAACUGUCGGGAAAUCAUUUCUACGGUGCAUUCCCUCAAGACAUUCAAUUACCUUCCAUUUUACAUCUAUUAAUGGAUGAAAAUGAAAUCAAAGGAGAACUUCCCCAGAAGAUAUGUGACAGUAUGAAGCUUAUGACGUUUGAUGCUAGCAAUAAUGAGUUGACCGGCCAUCUCCCCACUUGCAUUUACCAACUCUCGGCACUUGCCAUCUUGAAAUUAAAAGGGAACUCGUUGACUGGAUCGAUUCCAUCAGGAUUAUGCGGCCUCCGCAAACUGGUAUUUCUAGAUAUUUCAAGCAAUAACCUUUCUGGUCCAGUGCAUUGCUUACCGAAUUUGUACCAUGUUCAUAUGAGUGAAAAUAGAUUAAAUGGAACCUUUCCUAUUCCAUUGUCUGUGGGAACUAAUAUAUAUACAGUGGAUCUCAGAGACAACCAAUUCAGUGGUAUCCUUCCAGAGCUGAUAGGCAAGUCCUUUCCAAAUCUAAAAGUACUGCUACUAAAAGGUAACAUGUUCAACGGGAUAGUUCCAAAUGAUGUAUGUAACUUAAGGUAUUUGCGUCUACUAGAUCUGUCUCAUAAUAAGCUAUCCGGGCAGCUACCUUUAUGUUUGUACAUUAUGGGACUGGAUGAUGGUUUAUUUAACUUCGAACCUGGUUUUGGAACUUUUCCUGAAUUAUUCGAAGUCACGGGGCUGCCAGAUCAAGAGGGAUUCAUGACUAAGGGCAGACAAGACAAUUACAGGGGAAACAUACUCAACUACAUGACUGGACUUGAUUUCUCUUCGAACCAGUUGAAAGGAUCCAUUCAUGAAAGUAUAGGUGACAUGAAAUGGUUAAGGGCAUUGAAUUUCUCAGAAAAUAACUUUGAUGGAUCAAUACCACAGUCCUUAUCAAAUUUAAGUGAUCUGGAGAGCUUGGAUCUCUCGCACAACAAGUUGGCAGGCCAAAUACCUUCAGAGCUAGCAGCAUUACCGUCCCUUGAAGUGUUCUCAGUGGCAUACAACAACCUGUCUGGUCCUACACCGGGAACAAAGGGGCAGUUCAUCACAUUUGAUCAGAGCAGCUACGAAGGCAAUCCGUAUCUCUGCGGCCCACCGUUUCUAAAGAGUUGCUCAGUUCCUGAGCUUGAAGAACAUGGAGAAGAAGACGAUGAUAAAGUUGGUGAUAUCAUAUUGUUUGGUUGUUCAGCUAUGUUCUACAUGGCUGGUUUCUGGACGUCCUUGGGUGUGCUUUACUUCAAGGCAAGCUGGCGAUGGUCAUGGUUCUCUGCGGUGGACAUGUUCAGCGAUUUUGUAAUGGUCAAGUUGGCUAUAUACACAAGAAAGAUCCGUGGCGCCAGUUGA
rnacentral:rRNA from 1 species